CAAAAAACGGAACCCUUAUAGAUUCGUCAUGUCUGUCCGUCUGUCUGUCUGUCCGUUUAUGUCACAGCCACUUUUUUCCGAAACUAUAAGAACUAUACUGUUGAAACUUGGUAAUUUGCGCGAGAGACACUUCCAAAGUGGUAAAAUGUGUCCCCCCCCCCUGUAACUUUUAAAAUAAGAGAAUGAUAAAACUAUAAAAAAUAUAUGAUGUACAUUACCAUGCAAACUUCCAUCGAAAAUUGGUUUGAACGAGAUCUAGUAAGUAGUUUUUUUUUUAAUACGUCAUAAAUCGUAAA